UAGCGGCGAGCGAAGCGGGAAGAGCUCAAAUUUAUAAUCUGGCACUUUCAGUGUCCGAGUUGUAAUCUCUAGAAGUGUUUUCCGCGUUGGACCGCACACAAGUCUGUUGGAAUACAGCGGCACAGUGGUGACACCCCCGUACACGGUGCGGACGCCCAGCGCUUUGUGAUACACUUUCGAAGAGUCGAGUUGUUUGGGAAUGCAGCUCAAAUUGGGUGGUAAAUUCCAUCUAAAGCUAAAUAUUGGCGAGAGACCGAUAGCGAACAAGUACCGUGAGGGAAAGAUGAAAAGCACUUUGGAAAGAGAGUUAACAGUACGUGAAAUUGUUGGAAGGGAAACGCUUGAAGUCAGACUUGCUUGCCGGAGCUUGCUUCGGUUUGCAGGCCAGCAUCAGUUUUCCGGGGUGGAUAAUGGCGGUUAGAAGGUAGCAGCUUCAGCUGUGUUAUAGCUUUCCGCUGGAUACAUCCUGGGGGACUGAGGAACGCAGCGUGCUUUUAGCGGGGGUUUCGACCUCUUCACGCUUAGGAUGCUGGUGUAAUGGCUUUAAACGACCCGUCU
rnacentral:rRNA from 1 species